rnacentral:rRNA from 1 species
AGUGAACGCUGGCGGCAGGCCUAAUACAUGCAAGUCGAACGGCAGCACAGUGGAGCUUGCUCCAUGGGUGGCGAGUGGCGGACGGGUGAGGAAUACAUGGGAAUCUGCCCAGUCGUGGGGGAUAACGUAGGGAAACUUACGCUAAUACCGCAUGCGCCCUUCGGGGGAAAGCCGGGGACCGUAAGGCCUGGCGCGAUUGGAUGAGCCCAUGUCGGAUUAGCUAGUUGGCGGGGUAAAGGCCCACCAAGGCGACGAUCCGUAGCUGGUCUGAGAGGAUGAUCAGCCACACUGGAACUGAGACACGGUCCAGACUCCUACGGGAGGCAGCAGUAGGGAAUAUUGGACAAUGGGCGCAAGCCUGAUCCAGCCAUGCCGCGUGAGUGAAGAAGGCCCUCGGGUUGUAAAGCUCUUUGUCCGGAAAGAAAGCGCCGGGUUAAUACCCUGGUGUCCUGACGGUACCGGAAGAAUAAGCACCGGCUAACUUCGUGCCAGCAGCCGCGGUAAU